rnacentral:lncRNA from 1 species
AUGGCUCUCCAGGUGAGUGGAGUCAAACAGAUGGAGGUGGAAGAGGAAUUGUAUGACAGCUGUGCCGCAGCGCUUUGGCACGACCGGUGGGCAGAGGCUCCAUAUUUAAGAGCUAAAGAUGGACAGACUGUAACAAGACGCAUCCUGGCAGAAAAAAAGUUGAUGUUUGCAAGGUAAAUCAUCCAAAUAUUACAAGAAACUGUAUAUGACAGUAUUUCAAGUCAUCAUAAAUAUAAUGAAUAAA